rnacentral:misc_RNA from 1 species
ACUCUUCAACCUACCGAUUUCUAGUAAAUCGGAUUAGUGUUUGGAUUUUGAACGCUUGCUGGCCUUUAUUGGCGAAGCUCGUUCGUAAAUGAUUAGCAUCUCAUAUUCGAAAAAUCGGAUUGACUCAGUGUAAUAGACUAUUCGCUGAGGACGCUCUUUCGGGAGUAGCCGAGUUUUGUAAAGUAGAAGCUUCUAAUUCUAUUAGUCAACUUUAG